rnacentral:rRNA from 1 species
UACGUAGGUGGCGAGCGUUGUCCGGAUUUACUGGGCGUAAAGCGCGCGCAGGCGGGCUGGUCAGUCCGGGGUGAAAUCUCACGGCUCAACCGUGAGCGGUCCCCGGAUACUGCCAGUCUUGAGGUGUCUAGAGGAGAGCGGAAUUCCCGGUGUAGUGGUGGAAUGCGUAGAUAUCGGGAAGAACACCAGUGGCGAAAGCGGCUCUCUGGGGACCACCUGACGCUGAGGCGCGAAAGCGUGGGGAGCGAAC